CAGGCAUCUGAGUGACCCAGGCCAGUUCCCUCUGAAAUAGGUGAGUUCUACUCCUAAAAGAUGCGAACAAGUUGAAUUAAUGAUGUUGGACCAACAACUAUAAGGACAAUUAUAUUCCUUCAUUAGGCGUUUUUCUACUUGUGCAAAAACCAAGACAGUGGAUGAGUGACGAUGGGCUGAUCACCAGGAACAGGUAACUUCUCCUCCUGCUAUACGGAUCACAGGAGUCUGAGUAACCGAGGCCAGUUCUCCAUGAAACGGUGAGUUCUACUCCUAAAAGAUGCGAACAAGUUGAAUUAAUGAUGUUGGACCAACAACUAUAAGGACAAUUAUUAUUCCUUCAUUAGGUGUUUUUCUGCUUGUGCAAAAACCAAGACAGUGGAUGCGUGACUGCGUGCUGAUCACCAGGAAAACAUGAGUUUUAAGCUUCCAGUGGAGACGACAGGGAGCCGAGUGGUCUUGUGUAGAGCGACAGGAAUAGGUAAAUUCUAAUCCUGUAAUGUGAAUGACAGACAUCUGAGGGACCUGGGCCAGUUCCCAUGAAAAGGUGAGUUCUACUCCUACAAGAUGUGAAUGAGUUGAAUUAAUGAUGUUGGACAAACAACCAAAAAAGGACAAUUUUUAUUCCUUCAUUAGGCAUUCUUCUUCUUCUGCAAAACCCAAUACAGUGGAUGAGUGACUGCGCGCUGAUCACCAGGAAAAGGUGAGUUUUAAGCUUCCAGUGGAGACGACAGGGAGACGAGUCGUCUUGUGUAGAGCCACAGGAAUAGGUAAGUUCUAAUCCUGUAAUGUGAAGUACAGGCAUCUGAGUGACCCAGGCCAGUUCCCCAUGAAAAGGUGAGUUCUACUCCUACAAGAUGCGAAUGAGUUGAAUGAAUGAUGUUGGACAAACAACCAAGAAAGGACAAUUUUUAUUCCUUCCUUAGGAAAGCUUCUACUUCUGCAAAAACUAAGACAAUGGAUGAGUGACUGUGUGCUGAUCACCAGAAAAAGGUGAGUUUUACGCCUGAAGUGGAGACAACAGGCAGACGAGUGGUCCGCAUAGAGUUCCAGGAACAGGUUAGUUCUCCUCCUGCAAUGUGAAUUUCAAGCGUCUGAGUGACCCAGGGCCAGUUCCCCAUGAAAAGGUGAGAUCUACUCCUGCAAGAUGGGAAUGAGUUGAAUUAAUGAUGUUGUACCAAUAACCAAGAAAGGACAAUUUUCAUUCCUUCAUUAGGAAAGCUUCUACUUCUGCAAAAACUAAGACAAUGGAUGAGUGACUGUGUGCUGAUCACCAGGAAAAGGUGAGUUUUACGCCUGAAGUGGAGCAACAGGCAGAUGAGUGGCCUUGAGUAGAGCGCCAGGAACAGGUAAGUUCACCUCCUGCAAUGUUAAUGACGGGCGUCUGAGUGACCUAGGCCAGUUUCCCAUGAAAAAGGUGAGUUGUACUCCUAAAAGAUGCGAAUGAGUUGAAUUAAUGAUGUUGGACCAACAACUUAGAAAGGACAAUUAUUAUUCCUUCAUUAGGUGUUUUUCUACUUCUGCAAAAACCAAGACGGUGGAUGAGUGACUGUGUGCUGAUCACCAGGAAAAGGUGAGUUUUUAGCUUUCAGUGAAGAAGACAGACAGACGAGUGGUCUUGUAUAGAGCGCCAGGAACAGGUAAGUUCUCCUCCUGCAAUGUGAAUGACAAGCAUCUGCGUGACCCAGGCCAGUUCCCCCAUGAAAAGGUGAGUUCUAGUCCUCAAGAUGUGAAUGAGUUGAAUUAAUGAUGUUGGACCAAUAACCAAGAAAGGACAAUUUUUAUUCCUUCAUUAGGCAUUUUUCUACUUCUGUAAAACAGUGGAUAAGUAAUUGUGGGCUGAUCACCAGGAAAAGGUGAGUUUUAAGCUUCCAGUGGAGACUACAGGCAGAUAGGUGGUCUUGUGUAGAGAGCCAGGAAUAGGUAAGUUCUCCUCCUGUAAUACUGAUGAGAGGCGUCUGAGUUAUUCAGGUGUUCUGCCCCAGCUCCGGAUUUCCGAGGAUAUUGACACACAUCAACGGUCUUUAUCUAAUUUAUUAAGUAGCAAGAAUAAACAAACCGGCAAAGGUUGUUAACCAGCCUAGAAAAUAAGAUAUGAUAAACCAAAAUAUUCUGAUAAUAACAUGAGUUGUUUCCAGCAAGAGCGCACUAGCUUCGUGUGACUUAAAUAGGCCAAGGGAGUGGCCAAUUAUCCACAAGCCCUACUCUCGAGUAGACCUCCUCCUCCUGAGUAGCCACUCCUGCCUUUUGGCAGCCCUGCAUGCUCGAGCAUUGAGGAGAGGCUCCUCCACUUCGCUCUCUCCACUUGAAGGAGCCUCUGGAGGUUCUGAAGGCCAUGGCUGAGUCCUUGCCUCUGGCACCACAUCCUCUUCAGCCUCCUCGCUGUCCGACGCGAGCGCCAGCUGCGCAGGCUGCUGGCGCAACCCCACACCAGCCUCUUCGUCGUCGGGAUCAGCCACGAUCCGCGCAGUCCGCUGGUGGGCCACAACACUAUCCUUCACCUCAGGGCCCUUCCCCCGAAUCUGUUGAUCUGGAUGUGGUCGGGAUGGGAACUGCUCGUGGAAGGCGCAAACCAGGUCCUGAGCAUGAACAGAGGUCGCAUCCUCCCAUGUAAAAUCCUCCGGCCCAUUACCCUUCCACUCGAUGAGGUAUUGAAACUGACCCUUCAACCACCAAGAGUCUUGAAUACUCGCUACCUCGUACUCUGGCGAUCCCUCCCUGUCAUGGGAAGCGGGUGGAGGAUGGUCCAGUUGACUGAGCAGACAAGUAGACCGUUCAGGAAUCAGGAGGGAUCGAUGAAACACUGGGUGGAUUGUCAAAGACCGAGGCAGGGUCAGGCGAUAGGCCAGAGGAUUGAUGACCGCCUCUACCAGGAAAGGUCCAAUGAACCGAUUUUCCAGUUUUCUCCCUGGCCAGUCUGAGGGGAGAUGCUUCGUUGACAACCACACGUGAUCCCCAACAGCCAACGGGGGUGUGGUUCACCGAGAGUGGUCUGCGACCCUUUUGUAAUCAUCCUUAGCCUUGUUGAGGUACUGCUUCAUCAGCUGAUUCAUGGCCUGGAGCUCCGCCAAGAAAUUAUCCGCUACUGGAACCGGGGAGUCCAGGGUUGUGAGCGGGAAGAAGUGCGGGUGAUAGUCCAGGUUGGCUAGGAAAGGGGUGGUCUUGGUGGAGGUGUGCUGGGAAUUAUUGAACGCAAACUCCGCGACUGCUAGGUACUCUGUCCAAUUUUCUUAUUGUUGAUUGACAAAGCAGCGCAGGUAUUGCUUUAAGAUCCCAAUGACCUUUUCAGUCCUGCCAUCAGUUUCGUUUUGAUGAGCCGACGAUAAGCAGAUCUUAACGUCCAGGGCCAACAUCACCCCUUUCCAGAACUGGGUGGAGAACUGAGUCCCUCUGUCCAACACUACCCGAUCCGGUAGUCCAUGGAGCCGGAAAACAUGCUGGAUGAACAUGUGAGCGGUGGCGCGAGCUGUCAGCAUUCCCCGGCAGGGUAAGAAGUGCGCCAUCUUCGUUAACAUGUCCACCACCACGAACACCAUCGUGAAACCCGAGGACGGGGGCAAGUCCAUGAGAAAGUCCAUCGAGAUGACACCCCAAGGUCUCUAGGGGGUCGGCAAAGGCUGAAGUCGUCCUGGGGGAGUGCCCAUGUCCGACAACGAAUGCAAGAGGUCACAUAGGAUUGCACAUCAUGAUGGAGACGAGGCCACCAGAAAGUCCGCAACACCAAAUUCAGAGUCUUGAACAAACCGAAAUGCCCCGCCGCAGGGUUGUCAUGGCACUGGGACAAAAUGAGACUAAGCGGCCCCGAUGAAACAUAAAGCCUCUCCCGAUACCUCAAGAGGUCAUCGGUAAACGUCCAGGGAGAGUUGGGUCCUACCUCCUGCUUCCGCCAGUCGACGAAGGCGUCCUGCCUCUGCGCCUCCCGGAUCUGACCCCGUAAAUUGACAGGUUCCUAGACGGCAGCGAACAACUCGACGGGAAGAAUCGUCCGAGGUGGAAGCGGGUCCUUGGUUUGGGCGUAGUCGGGCUUCCUGGAGAACGCAUCUGCCUGUUGAUUGUGCCCACUCGGGAUGUAGGUAACUUUAAAAUUAAAAUGGGUAAAGAAGAAGGACCACCGAAUCUGGCGUUGAUUGAGCUUCCGUGCGGUCUGCAGAAACUCCAGAUUCUUGUGGUCUGUCCGGACUUCCACCUGAUGUCGGGCCCCCUCGAGGUAGUGUCUCCAGGUCUCAAACGCGGUCUUGAUGGCCAGGAGCUCUUUUUCCCAGAUGGUAUAGUUGCGCUCGGAAGGAUUCAACUUCUGGGAGUAGUAAGCGCAUGGGAAAAGAGUUCCACCAUCCACGCGAGCCUGGAGUAACACCGCACUGACUGCAAUAUCCGACGCGUCUGUCUCGACCACAAAUGGACGCUGCGGGUCAGGAUGCUUGAGGAUUGGCUUGGACAUGAAGGCCUGCUUUAAGGUCAGGAACGCCUGCUGAUUAAGCAAUAUGAAUCAGAACUAUUCAGAUAACUGUUGGAGAGGUUAUGGGGAAAAAGGAACGUAUUUACAUAUGUGGUGGGAUUGUAAAUUUGUGCAACAAUUGUGGAAGAUGAUGUUUAAGGAGAUUGAAGAAAUUGUAGGAAUAAAGGUAGAAGAGGCACGAAAGGUAGCAUUACUCUCACUAUUGGAAGAUAUAAAGUGUAAAAAAGACUAAAGAGUUGAUAACAAAUUUGUUGACCGCAGCAAGGUUAAUGAUUUCUAGGAACUGGAAGAUAUGAGGUGAUUGUUGUUUGGAAGAAUGGUAUAAGGAAGUAUGGGAUAUUGCCAUAAAUGAUAAACUGACUUGUAAUAUUAAAGUAAGGAGGGGCAUAAUGAAAGUAAAUGAAUUCAAUGGAAUCUGGAAACAGUUCCUAAUAUAUGUGUUUUCGGGUGGAAGGGGGAUACCACCACCAGAAGAAGCUUUAAGAUUUUGGAAGCAGGAAUGAUCCCAAGGGGUGCAGGAGCACUUGUUGAUUGUUUGUAUUGUGUAUAUUGUUAUAUAUUAUAUUGUCGAGUCCUACCGGAGCUCGCCAUCAAUGGAGGGUGUGGGAGGAAAAGGAGUGGAGAUAAGCAGCCGCAGCGAACACACAAAUAGUUCCUGGAUAGCAGCAUUCAGGGUGAUGAUUGAUGACGUUGCUGGGCCUCUCCGAUUCUGCUGUCCUCGCUGCUCUGGUGCUCGCAGCUGUUACUGUUAAGGGAGUGGGGGGUGCUUGAUUGAUAAUCACCGGAUGUAUGUUUAAGGGGCUGAGUUUUUGUUAAAUAGCACUGUGGUGUGAUUACACCCAGCGCUGACUUUGAACCAAAACACCGACUUGUACUUUACUUUUGACUGCAAGCUUAUCAUUGCCAAAGUAAACCCUGAUUCUCUGUGCGUUACUGGUGAUUAUUUCCUAUCGCAGUUCUGAACGAACGACAAGCCGAGAUAUAUAUUAUGAUUUAUGUAUGUUAAUAAAAUCAAUAAAAAUUAUUUUUUUUUAAAAAAAGGAACGCUCGCUGCUCGGGUCGCCCCACAGGAAUGGGACUUUCUUUUGCAGGAGUCGGGUGAGGGGCGCGGUCAGAGUGGCGAAUCCGGGGAUGAAAGUCCGGUAAUAGUUGGCAAAGCCUAGGAGUCACUGAACAUCUUUCACCCGAUUGGGAGGUUGCCAACUUCUCAAUGCCUCGACCUUGCUCCGAUCCAUUGCGAUGCCCUCGGGAGAAAUGCGAUGGCCCAAGAGGUCGACUGGAGGAACUGGCACUUCUCCAGCUUGGCGUACAACUGGUGGUCAUGGUGGUCACAGAGCAAGACCAGACGGAAAUGUUGGAGAUGACUUUUCCUGAAUAUGGAGAAAAUCAGGAUGCCGUCGAGGUACACCACCACGAACUGGUCCAAAAGAUCCCAGAAAAUAUCGUUCAUAAAAUUCUGGAAGAUAGCGGGAACGUUGGUUAGUCCAAACGGAAUGACCGUAUAUUCAAAGUGGCCAUACCUGGUGCUGAACGCUGUCUUCCACUGAUCCCCUUCUCGGACCUGAACCAGAUUGUAGGCGCCAUGCAGGUCCAGCUUGGUAAACACGGUAGCCCUCUGGAGUCUCUCUAAAAGUUCAGGGAUCAAGGGUAGAGGGUACUGGUUCCGCACCAUAAUGGCAUUCAGUUUCCGGUAGUCACAGCACAGACGCAAGUCUCCAGUUUUCUUCUUGACGAAGAGGACCGGAGCAGACAAGGGCUGGAUAAAACUCCGGGCCAGGUUUUUGUCCACGAAUUCCCUUAAUGCCACCAGUUCAGGGUCUGACAUCGAGUACAACCUCCCCACAGGGAGCGGUGCAUCCGGGAUUAAGUCGAUGGGACAAUCGUACGGCCGGUGUGGGGGCAACUGGUCCGCCUCUUUUUCGCUAAAGACGUCCGCAAAGUCCAAAAGUUCGUCCGGCAAAGAGACCGCAAGUGGACCCUGCACCUGGCCUGUGCACACUUGGCGAGUAUGAUCCACACACUGCAGGCUCAGGAACGACAAGAAAUUCUGGGACCAAAGAACGUGUGGGUCAUGAAUCCGAAGCCAAGCCAGGCCCAAAAUUAAAGGGAAAUGCAGUCCGGAUGUGACGUAAAAUUGGAUCGCCUCCUCAUGCCUACCGAUGGUCAGGCACAUGGGCUAAGUGGCGGCCUUAAUUGGCCCGGACAGAAGCACCCGACCAUGGAUGGUCUCCAUGACCAUGGGAGGAUCCACGGGACACAGGGGAACAGCAAAGUGAGUGGCGAACGCCUCAUCCAAUUAAGUUGGUCGUCGCACCGGAGUCCCAUGAGCUGGGAUCCCUUGGGGGUUGUCGGCAAGGAAGAUCUUAGUGUUGAGAAUCAAAUGGCGAGGGGGUCCAGAGUCCACUUCUGCAGGGCGUGAGUCUGUGUUGGUACAUGCCCGACCCCAGGUCUCCCCUAGAUCGGGCUCCGCCCAUUUCCCGACAGGUUAAGCGGGGCUGUGGUAUGGGACCAGGAGCCGGCGGGCUAUGUCGCUUCUUGGCGCAAGAGGCAGUGAAGUGUCCAGGCUCCUCACAAUAUAAACACAACCCCCCUGCCCAGCAUCUGUCCUUCUCAGCUCUGGACAGGCGGGGUCUGGCUGCACCGAUCUCCAUGGGCUCCUCCCUUGGAGCUGGAGCUUCAGAUACAACUGGGCCACACAGGGUUCCGGAGGGGUACGACAUGAGGGCCGAUGCUGUAACCUCGCAUCGAUCCUGAGGCACAGGCGACACAGCUCGUUCAGAGUUGGAGGAAUGUCCACUCUGGCCAACUCGUCCUGCAACGCGUCUGACAAACCCUCAUGGAAGGCAUCCAUAUUUGCUGCCUCGUUCCAUGCUGAGUCCUGGCUUAUCAAACGGAACUCACUGAUGUGGCAGCUGGCCUUGCUUCAAGGCCUUCAGGCAUCUGGAGGAGGUUUGAGCUUUAAUACAGUCCUCAUACAUCAGCCGCAGGUGCUCACAAAACCCCCCAAAAUCAUUGAGCAACGGGCUGUUCUGAACCAACAAGGGCGGGGCCCAACAAGCUGCCGAGCCGGAUAGCAAGCUGAUAAUAAACCUGACUUUAUCUCUGUCCUGUGAAAAGUCCUCAGCUCGUAAGCUCAUAAACAGAUGGUAUUGUCCAAAGAAAGCUGGAAACAUUUCCACAUUACCAGCAAAUUUAUCAGGCACAGUUACUGAGCAGCUUCUCCGAGGAGGUGGAGCAGGCAGAGGAGGUGGCAGAGAAGAAGCCAUUUGGCUUUGAAGCUGAGCCAUCUGAGCAGCCAUCAAAGUUAACUGUUGCCGAAGCUACACAUUCUCUUCAUACAGCUCCUCCAUCGUCUUCAAAGCUGUGGUGUGUGUAUUUGUUGGCUGGAAACAAACUGUUCUGCCCCAGCUCCGGAUUUCCGAGGAUAUUGACACACACUAAUGGUCCUUAUCAAAUUUAUUAAGUAGCAAGAAUAAAGAAGACCGGCAAAGGUUGGCAAUCAGCCCUGAAAACAAGAUAUGAUAAGCCAAAUACUGUGAUAAUAAUACGAGUUGUUUCCAGCAAGAACGCACUAGCUGCGUGCAACUUAAAUAGACUAAAGGAGUGGCCAAUUAUCCACAAGCCCUACUCUCGAGUAGACCUCCUCCUCCUGAGUAGCCACUCCUGCCUUUUGGCAGCCCUGCAUACUCGAGCAUUGAGGAGAGGCUCCUCCACUUCACUCUCUCCACUUGAAGGAGCCUCUGGAGGUUCUGAAGGCCCUGGCUGAGCCUCUGCCUCUGGCAAACAUCCUCUUCAGCCUCCUCGCUGUCCAACGCGUGAGCCGGCAAGGCAGGCUGCUGGCGCAACCCUGCACCAGAUUCCUCGUCGUCAGGAUUAGCCACAAUCCGUGUAGGCUGCUGGCGGGCCACAACACCAGGCCAGUUCCACACAAAAAGGUGAGUUCUACUCCUACAAGAUGCGAACGAGUUGAAUUAAUGAUGUUGGACCAAUAACUAAGAAAGGACAAUUUUUAUUCCUUCAUUAGGCAUUCUUCCUCUACUUCUGCAAAACCCAUGACAGUGGAUGAGUGACUGUGGGCUGAUCACCAGGAAAAGGUGAGUUUUACGCCUACAGUGGAGACAACAGGGAGACGAGUGGUCUUGUGUAGAGCGCCAGGAACAGGAAAGUUCACCUCCUGCAAUGUGAAUUACAGGUGUCUGAGUGACCUAGGCCAGUUCCCCAUGAAAAGGUGAGUUCUCCUUUCGAGCCCUGCCGGGACUCAUCACAUAUUAGAGGGAUGCGGGAAGCACGUUCACCGAAAAUACCUACAAUGACACCCGGGAGGGUGGGAGGUGAUCUGUGUGGCGGAAGACAGUUUUGAGGCAUCGGGAGGCAGGAAAAGCUGAGUUUUACACGUACAGUGGAGACGACAGGCAGAUGAGUGGUCUUGCAUAGAGCGCCAGGAACAGGUAAGUUCUCCUCCUGCAAUGUGAAUGACAGGCGUUUGAGUGACCCAGGCCAGUUCCCCACGAAAAGGUGAGUUCUAAUCCUACAAGAUGCGAAUGAGUUGAAUUAAUGAUGUUGGAUCAAUAACUAAGAAAGGACAAUUUUUAUUCCUUCAUUAGGCAUUAUUCUUCUUUUUUUGCAAAACCCAUGACAGUGCAUGAGUGACUGUGGGCUGAUCACCAGGAAAAGGUGAGAUUUACGUCUACAGUGGAGAUGACAGGUAACUGAUUGAUCUUGGGUAGAGCGUCAGGAACAGGUAAGUUCUCUUCCUGCAAUGUGAAUGACAGGCGUCUGAGUGACCUAGGCCAGUUUCCCAAGAAAAGAUGAGUUCUACUCCUAAAAGAUGCAAACGAGUUGAAUUAAUGAUGUUGGACCAAUAACGAAGAAAGGACAAUUUUUAUUCCUUCAUUAGGCAUUCUUCUUCUACUUCUGGAAAUCCGAUGACAGUGGAUGAGUGACUGUGGGCUGAUCACCAGGACAAGGUGAGUUAUAUGCCUGCAGUGGAGACGACAGGCAGAUGAGUGGUCUUGCGUAGAGCGCCAGGAACAGGUAAGUUCUCCUCCUGCAAUGUGAAUGACAGGCGUUUGAGUGACCCAGGCCAGUUCCCCACGAAAAGGUGAGUUCUAAUCCUACAAGAUGCGAAUGAGUUGAAUUAAUGAUGUUGGAUCAAUAACUAAGAAAGGACAAUUUUUAUUCCUUCAUUAGGCGUUAUUCUUCUUUUUUUGCAAAACCCAUGACAGUGCAUGAGUGACUGUGGACUGAUCACCAGGAAAAGGUGAGAUUUACGUCUACAGUGGAGACGACAGGCAGAUGAGUGGUCUUGCGUAGAGCGCCAGGAACAGGAAAGUUUACCUCCUGCAAUGUGAAUGACAGGUGUCUGAGUGACCUAGGCCAGUUCCCCACGAAAAGGUGAGUUCUCCUUUCGAGCCCCUGCCAGGACUCAUCACAUAUUGGAGGGAUGCGGGAAGCACAUUCACCGAAAAUACCUACAAUGACACCCGGGAGGGUGGGAGGUGAUCUGUGUGGCGGAAGACAGUUUCGAGGCAUCGUGAGGCAGGAAAAGGUGAGUUUUACACGUACAGUGGAGACGACAGGCAGACGAGUGGUCUUGCAUAGAGCACCAGGAACAAGUAAGUCCACCUCCUGCAAUGUGAAUGACAGGCGUCUGAGUGACCUAGGCCAGUUCCCCACGAAAAGGUGAGUUCUACUCCUACAGGAUGCGAAUGAGUUGAAUUAAUGAUGUGGACCAAUAACGAAGAAAGGGCAAUUUUUAUUCCUUCAUUAGGCAUUCUUCUUCUAUUUCUGCAAAACCCAUGACAGUGGAUGACUGACUGUGGGCUGAUCACCAGGAAAUGGCAUUCUUCUUCUACUUCUGCAAAACCCAUGACUGGAUGAGUGACUGUGGGCUGAUCACCAAGGUGAUUGAUCUUGAGUAGAGCAUCAGGAACAGAACACAGGAGACACCCAGAGACCGAGAAAUACAAAGAACCGACAAACAGCUGAUGCACAUUGUGGCAGAGGAAACGGUGGCAGAGGAAGUGGCAGAGGAAGGCCCAAUGGAAGAGGAGGCGCAGGAUUGUAUUGACCAACCCAUGGUUAGACCCAAGGUUCCGCAGACAUGGAGUGCAGGGUGUGCAGACGAAGAUCAACAAAACCAGAGAGCGAGGACUGGACAGACAGCCACAGGAGAAUGGAGGCUCUCCGCUCCCGGUUUGAGGACGAGUCAUUCGCCAUGCAUGGGCGCUCCUGACUUGGUGACAUCUCCUUGAAGGGGCCCCACACGCAUUUGAGGUAUGGACAGAUCAGAAGAACCUGGAAGCCCUACAAACACCGAGGAGGUUGUUCCCAAAACAAGUAAGGUGGAACCAUGUUGGAGAGGAGCUGCCUGUCGAGCCCCUGCCAGGAUUCGUCACAUAUGGGAAGGAUGGGGAAAACGCGAUCACCAAAGAUACCUACAAUGACAACUGGGAUGGUGGGAAGUGAUCCGGGCAGCAGAAGACACUUGCAAGGCAUCGGGAGGCAAACAGCAGCAAUGGAAAGGCUUUGGGCUCCCCACAUGGCCUGUCAGCUUCUGAUGACAUCAUGGAACACAGGAGACACAUGGAGGGCGGGAACUACAAAGAACUGACAAACAGCUGAUGGGGGUUGGCUUUAGCUACCGGAUGGUGGUUUAAACAGGAAAUAAUGUAUAAAUAGCGCUGAAAGGCGGCUGCUCUCAGUGCUGACUUUGAACCUAUUACUCUACUUGUACUGUGAUUCAGCUGUGUUCAGUGAUUAAAAGCCUUGCAAACCA